rnacentral:rRNA from 1 species
AAUUCUAGAUUUGAUGUGGUGUUAAAAUGCCGAUUGUUAAUAGUUAAAUGUUCAAAUAAUUGGUAGCUUAUUUCUUUGAUAUUGGCUUCAUCUGGUCUGUUUAUAGAUAUUUUAUUCACGAAAACUUGAGGUGUGAGAGGGAUUAGAUACCCCAUUAAUUCAAGUGAUAAAUUAUGGCUUAUUGUAGAUUGGAUCUAUUUUUAACAUGUGAUCUUUAUCAACUUAAGGAGGAGGCUUUCAUUUUGGAAACUUAAAUGUUCUGGUGGUGAUUUUGAACAAUAGUGGAAUAGAUGAUUUAAUUCGAUCUUAUGCGAUAAAGCUUAUCUGCUACUGACUUCAAUACCUCUCAUUUGGUAGAAUUCUAUCCAUUGGGAGUGCAUGGCUGCUCUCAGCUAAUGUUUUGUAAUAUCUGCUUCGAAUUCAGGAAUAGGCCCUGCAAGCAUAUGCUCUUCACACUUGUAUUAGACAGGUGUAGACGAGAAGGACCCAACUAAUUCAACAACCUAAUUAUAUAAAUAGAACUCAAAUCAUCGAAGCAAAAAGGAAGACCUAAUAUCCAAGCUAAAAGCCAUCUGUCCUGCAGUGGAUGCAUUUAAUUCCACAUCUAAAAUCCAACAUCUAACAACAAGCAUGAACAACCUUCAACAUCUCUAUCCCAAUUCCAACAUUAACCAACAUCCAUCUCCAACAACCAACAACGAUCCAAGCUUAUUGGUACAAGGCCUAUAUCACAUUUAGAUAUUAUAACUUCUGUUAGUGCACUUUCCAACAUUAAAUAACAUAAGUCCAUUCCAACAUCUCCAACAACGAUCAACAACUAACAUCCAAGCUCAAAGCAACAACAAUCUCCAAAUACCUUCAAGAACCUUCAAGACCUCACAACCACAUUCAGUCUCAAAUAUAACUCUCAGAUAGAAUAAGGUCGAGUCAUUAUGCUCUUUUUUCAGAGAUAUUCAUGUGUUACAAAGUUUGCCACAUGAGAUCUUACUAGAUGAGCCAGAAGUAAAAGCUUAUCAUCCGAAUUGAAAACUGAAAUGUCUUUAUGAAGGAGGAAUUAUUUGGAAUCUUUGGUUAGUUACUUAAAGGUGGACAGGAGAUAAAUUUUGCACAUACUGCCCGUCAAGCAAAAAGCAGAGAUGUAGAUUCAAACAGACCUUUGUAAAAUUGUUUAAUUCGCAUGCUAAUUUGUGUUAAGUCGAAACAUG